rnacentral:rRNA from 1 species
AUUGAACGCUGGCGGCAUGCUUUACACAUGCAAGUCGAACGGCAGCGCGGGCUUCGGCCUGGCGGCGAGUGGCGAACGGGUGAGUAAUGCAUCGGAACGUGCCCAGUAGUGGGGGAUAGCCCGGCGAAAGCCGGAUUAAUACCGCAUACGACCUGAGGGUGAAAGCGGGGGACCGAAAGGCCUCGCGCUAUUGGAGCGGCCGAUGUCGGAUUAGCUAGUUGGUGGGGUAAAGGCUUACCAAGGCGACGAUCCGUAGCUGGUCUGAGAGGACGACCAGCCACACUGGGACUGAGACACGACCCAGACUCCUACGGGAGGCAGCAGUGGGGAAUUUUGGACAAUGGGGGCAACCCUGAUCCAGCCAUGCCGCGUGCGGGAAGAAGGCCUUCGGGUUGUAAACCGCUUUUGUUCGGGAAGAAAUCCUCUGGGCUAAUACCCCGGGGGGAUGACGGUACCGGAAGAAUAAGCACCGGCUAACUACGUG